CUGUGAGGCUGGGUUCAUGCUGUUCCAUGGGCAUCUUCGGUUCACAGACACAACAUUCAUUCUAAGGCACCUUUUACAGGACAAACUUCUCGCCUUUCCUAAAUUGGCGCUAAUAGACACCUAGAGGAAUUAGUUUUUGCUGACUAGGAGAAUUAGCUCUCUUCAGUCAAAGUAUCCUUCAACCGAAGGAUGUUUCUGACUUUGCUCUCCGCUGUUAUAGUCACAGCUGCGCUAAAAGGCAUCUAUGGAGCAGAUUCACUGACCCAAACUGAAGGCAGCGUUAUCAUCUCCCAAGGGGACACGGUGCGUCUGAAUUGCACCUAUCAAUUUUCUUCCGGUGUUACGGUUUAUCCCUUCUGGUACGUGCAGUUCCCCAGCCAGCCCCCCAGGCUCUUCCUGAGGGACCUGGGACGGGAGGACUCGGAAGAAGGGAUCAGAAAAGGGUUCAAUGCCACCCACGAUGAAAAGCACAAAUCCUUCCACCUGUGGAAACCGGCCAGCGACCUGAGCGACUCCGGGACCUAUUACUGCGCCGCGAGAGACACAGUGACACGGGCCGGCAGGGGCGCUGAGCACAAACCGCUCAGGGAGGGGAUGUGCGGAGCAGCACGGAGGCGGGCACCUGGGUCUGGGGUGACUCAGGGGCCGAAAGCGGGGAGUCUGCAAACAAUGAACUUGGAACUAAAAUCUCUCUCACGCACACACAGUUUAGCUCUCUCCGAUUUCCUUCUUUGCCCUAAUCCGGAAUUUUGCCAGCUCAGAAAUGAUGCUGAAUUUCACGAAUCACUAAAUAAGAUAAAAUCAGGAAAGAUCAGGACACAUCCCCCCUCUCGUGAGCAACUCUGGUGA